rnacentral:rRNA from 1 species
GACGAACGCUGGCGGCGUGCCUAAUACAUGCCAGUUGAGCGCUGAAGGUUGGUACUUGUACCAACUGGAUGAGCAGCGAACGGGUGAGUAACACGUGGGGAAUCUGCCUUUGAGCGGGGGACAACAUUUGGAAACGAAUGCCAAUACCGCAUAAAAACUUUAAACACAAGUUUUAAGUUUGAAAGAUGCAAUUACAUCACUCAAAGAUGAUCCCGCGUUGUAUUAGCUAGUUGGUGAGGUAAAGGCUCACCAAGGCGAUGAUACAUAGCCGACCUGAGAGGGUGAUCGGCCACAUUGGGACUGAGACACGGCCCAAACUCCUACGGGAGGCAGCAGUAGGGAAUCUUCGGCAAUGGACGAAAGUCUGACCGAGCAACGCCGCGUGAGUGAAGAAGGUUUUCGGAUCGUAAAACUCUGUUGGUAGAGAAGAACGUUGGUGAGAGUGGAAAGCUCAUCAAGUGACGGUAACUACCCAGAAAGGGACGGCUAACUACGUG